UGGCUCAGUGGAAAGAGCCUGGGCUUGGGAUUCAGAGGUCGUGGGUUCUAAUCCCGC
rfam:Ornithorhynchus anatinus chromosome X1, whole genome shotgun sequence.